GUGAGCGGCAAAAGCUCAAAUUUGAAAUCUGGUACCUUCGGUGCCCGAGUUGUAAUUUGGAGAGGGCAACUUUGGGGCCGUUCCUUGUCUAUGUUCCUUGGAACAGGACGUCAUAGAGGGUGAGAAUCCCGUGUGGCGAGGAGUGCGGUUCUUUGUAAAGUGCCUUCAAGAGUCGAGUUGUUUGGGAAUGCAGCUCUAAGUGGGUGGUAAAUUCCAUCUAAAGCUAAAUAUUGGCGAGAGACCGAUAGCGAACAAGUACAGUGAUGGAAAGAUGAAAAGAACUUUGAAAAGAAA
rnacentral:rRNA from 2 species